AUAAUACCCGAUAGGUCUCGAUUGCUGGAAUGCAUCGAGAUUUAAAGCUCCGGCGCCUAAGGAUGGGUCUGCGGCCUAUCAGGUAGUAGUGGGUGUAGCGUACCUACUAGCCUACGACGGGUACGGGUUGUGAGAGCAAGAGCCCGGAGAUGGAUUCUGAGACACGAAUCCAGGCCCUACGGGGUGCAGCAGGCGCGAAAACUUUACAAUGCUGGCAACAGCGAUAAGGGAACCUCGAGUGCCAGGUUACAAAUCUGGCUGUCGGGAUGCCUAAAAAGCAUUUCAUAGCAAGGGCCGGGCAAGACCGGUGCCAGCCGCCGCGGUAACACCGGCGGCUCGAGUGGUAACCGUUAUUAUUGGGUCUAAAGGGUCUGUAGCCGGCCGGAUAAGUCUCUUGAGAAAUCUGGCAGCUUAACUGUCAGGCUUUCAGGAGAUACUGUCUGGCUCGAGGCCGGGAGAGGUGAGAGGUACUUCAGGGUAGGGGGAAUCUGUAUCCUGAAGGACACCAUGCGAAGGGUUCACCAGACGACUGACGGCAGGGACGAAGCUAGGGGCACGACCGGAUGAUACCCGGUAGUCCUAGCCGUAACGAUACUCGCUAGUGU
rnacentral:rRNA from 1 species